GGCCUCUUCCUGCCUCUCACUAGCUUCAUCCCUCAGAAGCUGAAUCUUCUCAGGGAAGGAGCUACUGAAGAGCAGGAAUAGAUUGCACUCUUGGACUCCAACCAAUCUGUCUUCCAUUAUUUGUGUACUCAAAUUCUUCUGUUGUAGUGGCC
rnacentral:pre_miRNA from 1 species